CAGAAUUGUACAUGGCAGGUACAUGCGUGGGUUUCUUCCGGAUACUCUGGAUUGCUAAAAAUAUCAAGAUUUGUCGAAUCUACUGCUUGUCCAUUGGUCUCCAGUCAUCCGUCUUCAAAACCCCACUGUUCCAGAGGGUCGUCAGCAGGCCUUAUUGGUGGCGACAAAUGAGGCCCGUGACUGCAGAAACAGGAGAAUGAGUUUUCCUCUUCCCCCUCCUCAAUGAUUCCACUGCAGUGGCCCAUGCUGAAAGAGCACUUCGUACUGAAGGGAUAAGAGCACCACCACGACGGCAGUGUGUGGGGAAGAUGGUGCUACCCUUUGGCCAGUAUCUCAACGCACCAUUUCACUGGGUUGUGUCAAAUGAUGUGGGCUACAUGAAGUGUUUGAUCGAAAAGCACAGAGAAGAACUCUCUAAAAAAGUUGGAAAGGGGCAGGCACAAAAUCAAUGGAUAAAAGACCACCUGGCAGAGUAUGCAGAGAGCUUUCCAGAAGUUUCAAUCGCCCUGGAAGCCAACAUCCACCGAUGUGUUUACAGACAGAAAGGGUUCGAGAGCCAUAGCUUCCAUGAGAUGUGGGAGCUCUACAGCCACUAUUCUGGACAGAAGGACAGGCCAGAUGGUUUUGGUACGAGUCAGGGGGAAACGAUACAGAAGGUAUACAGCUCUGUUAGCCGGUGGCUAAAUACACCUAUAACCCUCAUCACCAGUGUGCAGAUGAAAAGAUUUAGAAAAUACAUAUGUAUGACAAGAAGAUUCAAGUAAGUUAUCUGAAUCACAAACCAUAUUCCCACAACAUUAAAUUAAUGUUUUGAGAACAUAAAGCGCAUUAUUUAACUCUUUCCCUACCAGCCUUUAAAAAAAAGCCUACACCAGCGUUUUUUUACAUUUUCACCAAAUUUUAAUGGCUCACAGUACAUUUUCUGUAAAGAAUAUAUGGACAAACAAUUUUUCCAAUAAAAGAACAGAGUCUCUGCUUUUAAACAAAAGAAACCGUAUUCUUCUAUAUCCAUUUGUUUUUUAUCACACCUUAGAUGUGGGCAGGUUUCUUUAAAGAUGCAUCACUUUGAUUAAACAGCUGAGAUAAUUAACGUUUUUUGUCAAAGAUUCCGCCCAGAUUACACUCAGAACAAUCAUUAAAAACCGAUAAGAAAUAUACGUUCUAGGUUCUGGGAUUCCGUACUUUUUACCAAAGGUGUGUAAUAGCGCCACCUGCUGUACAACAGUACAAAAACUGAUUGCCGUAAAAACUUGUCUUUGGCGCGGAACCCUUUUUGUUUUAAAUGACGAGAUAACUCGUCAAUGGCGGUGAAAGAAAUAAUUUAUUUAUCAUACAGAAGUCAAGCUCUUCCAACAGUGACCCCUCAUUGCUGGAUGACACCCACUUGUUGGAGGUGAUCAAAUUCUGAGCCCAUGGCUUCCACAUCAUCAUGUGCAGCCUCAGCAUCAUCCGCAGCCUCAGCAUCAUCCGCAGCCCAAGCAUCAUCCGCAGUCUCAGCUUCAUCCGCAACCUCAGCAUUAUGCGCAGCCACAUCCACACCUUCAAAUAAUUCCUCAUCCAAACCUUCAUAGAAGUCCUCAUCCACAUCUUCAUCAAAGAAGUCAUCCACAGCCACGCUCCCAGUAGAACCCAGUAGUUACUCCACAGUCGAGCUGGAGGGCUGGGUGCGAUUGUGGGAAAAUUCCAAUGGCAUCCCACCAGCUGAUCUUUCCUGGGUGGAGGAUGACACAGAGCACGGACUCUUUGCCCCCAUUCAGGUGUACCGUGACAAUGCUGGUACACCAGCUACCAUACUAAGGUUAAUCUUGUUUGGGAUUUAUCCAGCUGGUACUGUAUAAUAACAGAUGUCCUGUUGUGUACAAAAGCAGCCAGGGGUGGUGGUAGUUGCAUGAUGGGCAGGUGGUUGGCGUAGGAUUCUGCCAUUCUUUGUCAACUCAUUGAGGCUCACCAAGCCAAGUUUCCGGCUUUUCUGAUGGACAAGCUCAUCAAUCUGCAGUCAACAAGAAUGCCAUCAGACACAAUAUCAAAGACUGCGUCUGUCUCCUCAAAAGACUUACCUCCAGCACCUCAUCAACCGUCGGUUCUCCCUCCACCUGUCUAUCAACAAAUUGUGUACGAACACAUUCCCAGCAAGGCAGGGACCAAGGUCUUAAAAGAACGAUCAGUCAUGGUAAUGCCAGCACCUAAAACCUUGUCCUGGUUAAUGCCAGCUAUGUCUGCCGUCUUCAGACCUCCACCAAGAAUCACUUCAUCAACUGCUAAUACACAAGUGAUUCCGGAUUCCACCAGCACAACACCCUUGACAUUGUCUUCCGGCCCCACUGACACACCACAGAGUGUUGACACCCCCUUAACCUGGUCCAGAGCUACAGUGUACAAAAGAAAAAGCCCAAACAGUCUUACUCAAGUUGGAGUCAAACUGUCAUGUGUGCAUAACUUGCCUGUUUGUACACUUUGCCAACAACCCACUCAGGGACAUAAAAAUUAUAAAAAAAAAACGUUUUGUCUUGUGAAAAUGAUGUCGAUCUCCAAAGGAUUGGACAACAGAGUGUUCACCAGGUAUGAACACUUUACCACAGUUGUGGACUCACAAAAGUGAAGUUUGUUUUGCUGUUGUGAGAUAGGAACACCGUUUUUAUUUCAUGUAUGUCAUGGUUCCACCUCUCCUUGUCAGGUAUUUCUUGUUCUAGAGGUGGAAUCGUACAGGAUCCUUUGUUUCAUUUGGGAGAGAGACGUUUUCAUCGCUCUCUGGUCUGCGUCAUCGUUCCUGCGGUCCUGUUUCCUAGUUUGUGUUAAUUAGUUUAUCCCCUGCACCUGUUCCCUCUUGAUUUCUCUCCCUUUAAAACAUCCUUGUGUUCUUUGUACUGUGCGCUUUCAUUGUAAGUUGUUUGCGGUAUGAGAUGUUCCUUGUUGUAGUCACAAGUUUUCCUUGUUACCUUGUUUCUGUUACCCUGAGUCCUAGUAAGUGUUAGUUUAGUGUUCUUAUCAAGUGUUUGUUUUCUUAGUCUUAUUUUAGUAAGUCUGUGUCCUUAUUUUGCUAUUAUUUAUCCUGCUUUGUUUUCCCCCUCGUGGGUUUUGUUUUGUCAGUUUAUAGUCUUGUUUGUAUUAAAUACCCGUGUUUACUCCUCCCAUCUCGUCCUGCCUCUGCCUUGCAAUUGGGUUCCUACUUAGAGUUUCAUGACAUGUAACUGCAGUUUAUGGUGACUAUUGUUUAUUUUAUAAAGUUUAUAUGUGUAUCUGCUGUUUUAAUUUUAAAAGCAACAAUAUAUUGGAGAUUGUUUAUAUUGCCUUUAAUAUAUAUUUUCUAUCUCACGUAACUAUUUUACACUUUAUGUAACUGUGAUGCUUGUCUUGAAUAUGGCAUUUUAUUUCAUUCCAGUUAUAUUUUAUUUAACGUACCUAAUAUUUCAUAUUAUAUUAUUUCAUGUUAUA